UCAAUUUUCUUUCUUGAAAAUAGAUUAAUAGUUUCUCCCCCUUUUUUUUUUUUCCAGCUUGAGGCAGAAAUCUAACAGAAAUUUUCAGCUUGAAUGAUGAAAGUUUCGUGAAGCUGUACGGAAUGGGAAAUAGCUUCUUCUUCUGGGAAGUGCUGAGCGACCCUGACGUGGGCUGGGACUCUCAGGCGGCGCAGGGUGGUCUGGCAAAGCCUUCAGCAGGGCACUGCACUGGUCGGGCAGCAGAGCACAUACUUCAAGCAUCCCUGACCUUGAGCAAGCACAGCCAGAAGCUCUUUGUUGGAUGGGAGCCACACCGCUUCACUUCUCGCUGAUCCAGGGCUUCAGAGCGACUCAGGUGCUGAUCGAGAGUAUGCAGCAGGCCACCAACUCGUGAAUCAGCUGUUUCGUGUGACUGAGGGAAUUCGGAGAAUGGUUUGCUUCUCUUUCUCAGUACUGUAGAAAGAUACCUACCAGCCUAGUGUGCAGCCGGGAGACCAGCACAUCAUCAGCCGUGCGCAGAGCGCUUUUCACUGACUAACUGUGAAAUGGGAAAUUCUCAACUCUCCCUAAAGAGACAAUACGCCUUUCUUAACCAAAGUGCUGACGCUGUGACUCUAUAGAGUAAAUCCUCAGGAAAAUGCUGUUUCUCACUUGCAAUUUAAGAAGUUAAAUUUACAGACCCUCCGACAGCCCUCUGCCUCGCGCUGGAUCCUAAUCUGAAGUGACUGCUGCGGUUCAGCUCAGGGCUCAGACAGAUAAUCAAGUUACUGUUGGUUAAAGAGUCACUGUGUGUUCGUCGAGGCUGGAGGCUCAACCACAUGCAUACUUCCAGACCCUCACAAGCAUACGGCAAAAAUGCAUUAUCUUAAAUCUUUUUUGCUGACAUUUCAAUGAACACAUUUUUCCUCAAAUAUGUGACAGGCCGAGAGCAUCUGGCUCCGCUGAUGCUUAGUGAGUAACUCAUUACACUGCAGGAACUCACUUAUUUUUGAGCCCUGAGCUUUGUUAAUGCUCUUGCCUGUGUUACGGUGCUGGAGCACUUGAUUUGCACUUGAGCUGGGGUGUUAGAUUUAGGUGCUUGAGCAACAAAGUUUGCAGAGAUCGAAACCUUUAAUCCAUAGCUAUGGGAAGAGCUGGGGUAAAAACCCUGCUCAUUACUCGUUGCUUACAUUUAGACUAUGGAUGCUUUGAAGAGUGUAUGGAGUCUACAAACUUACAGACUGAAACUAAAAAGCAGAGGCAAGUGUGCCAGCCUUUCAGAUCCUGCUGAUACUUUAUCUGAGAGAGCAACCUAAUAAAACACCCUCCUUGUCUCUCCGGUAGGGAUGC
rnacentral:lncRNA from 1 species